UUUGAUUCGUAAGUUGAAGAGAUUUGAGAGUUAGGAAAGUGAUGUGAUGUUCUAUGGGCUCUUCCCUUGACACGUGUCCCCCUAAUGGUGACGUCAUUUGAGUGAUAAUUGUAGUUUCGCAUUGUUUCAAGGUUGGAUCAUAGUUGUUGGUUCCUAUCAUUGUAUUCCCACUAUUUGAUCACUGGUAGUAUAUAAGGGGUUAUCCCAGAUUUUGGAGGGAUUUUCAUUUCCCUUAUCUUCUUUCCCUUUCAAUUCUCUCUAGUUUUAUCAUGAUAAAGACUUAUCUUUGCCUCAAUUCUCGUUAGUGGUGCUCGUUCCCUAUUUAUGACAAAUACACUACUUUAGAGUUCUAAUCAUUCGUUUUAUCGUGCCUUCUUAUUAUAUAUCAAUUUUUCUGAGCUUUUCACAGUUUUAAAUUCAAAGCCAUACUUCUCUGGGUUUUCGGAGCUUAUUUUCAUGGCCACCAAUGGUGGUGGUUGAUGGUCCCACAGUGGUGGGUUAACUCCUUCAACUUGGUAGACAUUUUCUUUAAGGAAGGCAAAGGUUCUCGUAUCCGCCGCAGAUUAGUCUAGAAAAUGCAAUGUUUUACUUGACACGAGAAAAAAGUUAGAAGAUUCUUAUUUUUGAUGUGGUGGUGAUCGGCGAUAGUCCAAUGUUCCAUCGUGUCCUUUGUUCAAUGGCACGGUGGUUCCCCAUUUUACCCUUUCACUUACAAAUUUUCAGUUGAAAGGAGGAUUUGGAUGUUGAAUUCAUUUUCCUCUUCUUCUGCCUUUUAAGUCGUUAUGGUGAAAGCAACACACUUGUUGUACGAAUUAAUUUUCCAAGUAGAUAAGGAAAGUUUCAAAAGGGUAGCACAAGAAAUGCUAAAAGGGAUGUCAGCCUUUAAGAAUGGGAAUGCCAAAUACUAUUUUACUUAAGAGGGUCUGUUAUGAGAACCCCACAAUCUAGAUUCCCGCUUACGGGGUCAUUUUUAAAGACAUGGGCUUCUAGUUGACUUUCAUAAACUUUGAGAAAGACGUGUUUUAGCAUCAGGAUAUGUGUCUUUAGAUUCCUUUGAAUUUGAUAGGAUACGUAUAAGCCUUCCAGUGAGCGUGGGACCAUGUACACACAGGGCCAAUAGUCGGUUUUUUUUCUAUCUUUGAUAUCCUUUGGAACAAGGACACUACUUGCCAAACAUGGGUCUCCUUCAAGCAACCGAAAAGGUUCUCCGCACCAUACAUUGAUUCCUAUAGUGGCUUCAAGAGUAGGUAUUACGUGAUACGCCCGUUGAUGGAAAGGCCAAGGAAAACGUAGAGGUAAAUGAAGGGAUCCUUGACAAUGAUGGCUUGCCCAUCAUCGACUAGGGAUGGGAGAUCGUCGAGAAUGGCAUUCCCCCAUUCCUUUUCUUUUGGUCGAACAUACAUUUUAAAAAGAAAUAGGAGUGAGAUGGUUUCCAAGUUGGAGGACCUUAGUGUCCUAGAGGCAUUGGGUCAGAACAACUUACUUCCCCUCAUGCUAGCUAGCUUCGACAGAACAUCGGCUUUUGUGUUUUGUUCUCAAAGAAUGUGAUGAAAUGUAAUAUUUUUGAAUUUAGUCAUUAUUUAAUUUACUUCUGUGAUAUACCUUUGUAACGUUAGAUCUUUUGCUUGUUUAAAUCACUUGAUUUGGCAUACGGUGAAUUGUGAAUAUGUAUUAAACGUAACCUCGUUUUCACAAAAUUUAUGUGCCAAUCGUAACCCGACGAGGUUGGCCUCGUAUUCUACUUAAUUGUUAGAUGUUUGGAAUGAAUGGGGGAGGCUUCAAUAACCAAACCUUCUUCGUUUUCAUGUAGGAUACCAAUUCCACUUCCCUUAGUGUUGGAGGAUCUUAUGAAGAAGAUGAUCCAUUUGAUCCUCAACUUAGAAAAUGUUGGGGUCAUUUCGGUAACGAAGUCGCCGAGGGCUAGAGCCUUUAAAGAUUUCCUUGAAUCGAAAGUGAUGCCAAGCUCAAAAGUUCAACUGACCAUUUUUCCAUUCUUCUGGAAAGGCCUAGCCAAUAAAGGAUUUAUUUAAUCGAUUGUUUUGUCAUGAUCACUAGUGUGUAAGCUAAACAAUAAUGCCUUAGCCUUAUUACUACGAUAAGUAAAGCUAAAACAACUUUCUCUAACCACUGAUAUCUGAGUUCAAGAUCCUGCAAAGCCUAACUGAUGAAUUAAACAGAUUUUUGUCCUUCGAUCCUUUCUCGUAUUAAUGUUGUGUUCACUUCUUUCAAUUAAACAUCAAGGUAUAAGUAAUGUGUUUCUUCUAUGGUUGGUCGAAAAAGAACUAGAGGUUGGGAAACUAUCUCUUUUAAUCAGGUCAUUGCGACUUCGCAGUCGUUUGUCCAUUAGAAUGUCACAUCUUUCCUUAACAGUUU
rnacentral:lncRNA from 1 species